rnacentral:snRNA from 1 species
AUACUUACCUGGCAGGGGAGACACCAUGAUCAGGCAGGUGGUUUUCCCAGGGCGAGGCUCAUCCCUUGCACUCCGGGUGUGCUGACCCCUGCGAUUUCCCCAAAUGCGGGAAACUCGACUGCAUUAUUUAUUUUUUUUCUUUUUUAGGGCAA